rnacentral:rRNA from 1 species
UACGUAGGGGCCGAGCGUUGUCCGGAGUUAUUGGGCGUAAAGCGCGCGCAGGCGGCCUCGCGCGCCCGACGUGAAAGCCCCCCGGCUUAACCGGGGAGAGUCGUUGGGGACGGCGGGGCUUGAGGGCGGGAGAGGGUGGUGGAAUUCCCGGUGUAGUGGUGAAAUGCGUAGAGAUCGGGAGGAACACCCGUGGCGAAGGCGGCCACCUGGGCCGACCCUGACGCUGAGGCGCGAAGGCGUGGGGAGCGAACGGG